rnacentral:rRNA from 1 species
AUUGAACGCUGGCGGCAUGCCUUACACAUGCAAGUCGAACGGUAACGGACCUUCGGGUGCCGACGAGUGGCGAACGGGUGAGUAAUACAUCGGAACGUGCCCGAUCGUGGGGGAUAACGAGGCGAAAGCUUUGCUAAUACCGCAUACGAUCUACGGAUGAAAGCAGGGGACCGCAAGGCCUUGCGCGGACGGAGCGGCCGAUGGCAGAUUAGGUAGUUGGUGGGAUAAAAGCUUACCAAGCCGACGAUCUGUAGCUGGUCUGAGAGGAUGAUCAGCCACACUGGGACUGAGACACGGCCCAGACUCCUACGGGAGGCAGCAGUGGGGAAUUUUGGACAAUGGGCGCAAGCCUGAUCCAGCCAUGCCGCGUGCAGGAUGAAGGCCUUCGGGUUGUAAACUGCUUUUGUACGGAACGAAAAGCCUUCUUUUAAUACAGGAGGGUCAUGACGGUACCGUAAGAAUAAGCACCGGCUAACUACGUG